rnacentral:rRNA from 1 species
UACGUAGGUGGCAAGCGUUGUCCGGAAUUAUUGGGCGUAAAGGGUAGGUAGGUGGUUGCGUAUGUCUGGGGUGAAAUCCCUGAGCUUAACUCAGGAAGUGCCUUGGAAACGGCGUAACUAGAGUGCUAGAGAGGUUCGUGGAAUUCCACGUGUAGCGGUGAAAUGUGUAGAUAUGUGGAAGAACACCUGUGGCGAAAGCGGUUUUCUAGCUUAUUCCUGACGCUGAGGCGCGAAAGCAAGGGGAGCAAACAGG